GCUAAAUUAGCCAUUUCCCCUCCCUGGUGUCAUGUGACUCGUUAGUGUUACAAGGUCUCAGGUGUGAAUGGGGAGCAGGUGUGUUAAAUUUGGUGUUAUCGCUCUCAUACUGGUCACUGGAAGUUCAACAUGGCACCUCAUGGCAAAGAACUCUCUGAGGA